GAGUUUGAUCCUGGCUCAGGACGAACGCUGGCGGCGUGCUUAACACAUGCAAGUCGAACGGAAAGGCCCUGCUUGCAGGGUACUCGAGUGGCGAACGGGUGAGUAACACGUGGGUGAUCUGCCCUGCACUUCGGGAUAAGCCUGGGAAACUGGGUCUAAUACCGGAUAGGAGCCAUUUUUAGUGUGAUGGUUGGAAAGUUUUUCGGUGUAGGAUGAGCUCGCGGCCUAUCAGCUUGUUGGUGGGGUAAUGGCCUACCAAGGCGGCGACGGGUAGCCGGCCUGAGAGGGUGGACGGCCACAUUGGGACUGAGAUACGGCCCAGACUCCUACGGGAGGCAGCAGUGGGGAAUAUUGCACAAUGGGCGCAAGCCUGAUGCAGCGACGCCGCGUGGGGGAUGACGGCCUUCGGGUUGUAAACUCCUUUCGCUAGGGACGAAGCUUUUUGUGACGGUACCUAGAUAAGAAGCACCGGCUAACUACGUGCCAGCAGCCGCGGUAAUACGUAGGGUGCGAGCGUUGUCCGGAAUUACUGGGCGUAAAGGGCUCGUAGGUGGUUUGUCGCGUCGUCUGUGAAAUUCCGGGGCUUAACUCCGGGCGUGCAGGCGAUACGGGCAUAACUUGAGUACUGUAGGGGUAACUGGAAUUCCUGGUGUAGCGGUGAAAUGCGCAGAUAUCAGGAGGAACACCGAUGGCGAAGGCAGGUUACUGGGCAGUUACUGACGCUGAGGAGCGAAAGCAUGGGUAGCGAACAGGAUUAGAUACCCUGGUAGUCCAUGCCGUAAACGGUGGGCGCUAGGUGUGAGGGUCUUUUCACGACUUUCGUGCCGUAGCUAACGCAUUAAGCGCCCCGCCUGGGGAGUACGGCCGCAAGGCUAAAACUCAAAGGAAUUGACGG
rnacentral:rRNA from 1 species